UACGGAGGGUGCAAGCGUUGUUCGGAUUUAUUGGGCGUAAAGGGCGUGUAGGCGGUCUCGUAAGUCUGAUGUGAAAGCCCCGGGCUCAACCCGGGAAGUGCAUUGGAAACUGUGAGACUUGAGUACGGGAGAGGGCAGUGGAAUUCCUAGUGUAGGAGUGAAAUCCGUAGAUAUUAGGAGGAACACCGGUGGCGAAGGCGGCUGCCUGGACCGAUACUGACGCUGAGACGCGAAAGCGUGGGGAGCAAACAGG
rnacentral:rRNA from 1 species